GCGCUGAUUUGCGCUCGUCCGUGGCCAUCGAACCCGCCUAGCUCCUUGCUCGCCAUGGCCCUAGUCGUCUCAUCACUGUGCGCAACGGAAGCGUGGUGGGUAUUGGUCGCGGGCAUGGUUGGGCGACGCGAGAUCUGGGAACACCGUCGUUUCAUUAUGCCCAGCAUCGUGCCUUUUGUGCUAGUCGUCGAUUUAUUAUUCACCACAACACCGUCAUCCCCUGCUGUGCCCCGGAUGUCAUGCUCGCUGUGGUCGGCUCAGGUGGUCGACAUCGUCGACUGUCAAUUCCGUCAAUAGCCACGUUCAUUCGUUAUUGUUCAGUACUCCACGAGAAAGAAAUCUAUGGAAAUCUGGGUAAAGAAAAAGUGAACCCCAUCUGUCGCUUCCAUGGUGUGCUGAGAAAUGCUCCCACCAGACAUCGUCGUCAAUCUCACGAAUUCAGAUCGGGU
rnacentral:lncRNA from 1 species